UCCCAAAAGCUCAGUCAGUAGAGCAUGAGACUCUUAAUCUCAGGGUUCAAGCCCCACAUUGGGUGAA